UACGUAGGGUGCGAGCGUUGUCCGGAAUUAUUGGGCGUAAAGAGCUUGUAGGCGGUCUGUCGCGUCUGCUGUGAAAAUCCGGGGCUCAACCCCGGACUUGCAGUGGGUACGGGCAGACUAGAGUGUGGUAGGGGAGACUGGAAUUCCUGGUGUAGCGGUGAAAUGCGCAGAUAUCAGGAGGAACACCGGUGGCGAAGGCGGAUCUCUGGGCCAUUACUGACGCUGAGGAGCGAAAGCGUGGGGAGCGAACAGG
rnacentral:rRNA from 1 species